ensembl:lncRNA
CUAACCCAAACAUCUGUCCUGUGCUCCAAGCACUUCACAGAGGACUGCUUUGAUCACUCAGGAGAGAGUGUAUCUUUCAAACCCGAUGCAGUCCCCACUGUGGCAAUGGCAUCAGACAUUCAACAGGAGAGCAAUGAAGAUGAUGCUGACCCUUCCCAAGACCUGACAGAAGAUCAUAUAGAGCAUCCGUAUGCGAUGGAUUCAGAGAGGGCGGAGAUGAGGGGUUUGGGGGAAAAUGACCCAAACAGCAGGAAGGAUCUUGCUUUCUCUAGGUAUGAUGAAGUGGAGAGGUUCUUGAGGACAGGGACAUUUUCAAAGGAGUUGAUGCAGGACAUGAGACACUAUGUCAGAAGAGCCUCAAAGCACUACUGUCUGGAAGGUGAUGUUCUGUACUACUGCAGAGGAACUGGACUCCGAAGAGUGCUUCGAAGUCGAGCGCAUGUCAAUACGGUGUUGAGGGAACAUCACGAUAACCAAGGUCAUUACGGCACACAACGAUGCAUAAGCAACAUCACUGAGAAGUUCUACUGGGGAUCACUGAAAAGGGACACUGAACUGUGGGUUGGCAACUGUCAACUCUGCCUGAAUAUGGAUGAAACAUCCCAGAAUUUCCACUGCUCUGUGAAGGGCUGCAACACUCAAAAUGGGCCGGUGGAGAGAAGUCUGGGCCUGACCUUUCAUCGGUUUCCUUUCGAUGACCCCGAGAGGCUCAGCCAGUGGAUCAAAAACACACACAGAAGCAUGUGGUCUCCACCCACUAGAUCAGUGGUCUGCUCCAAUCAUUUCACUGAAGACUGCUUUGAGCUUGUAGGCAGGGAAAAGCUGCUAAAGUGUCAUGCUGUUCCCACCUUGUUACUUGGCCAUUCUCGUAUAGAGGGAGCACAGGGCUCAGAUGCGGAAAAUAACUUGGAAAAUGCUCAGUGCACCUUUUUCUCAAAAUAUGACGCUGUGCACAAAUACUUGAGCGAAGGCGCCUAUCCUCAAG